rnacentral:rRNA from 1 species
GACGAACGCUGGCGGCGUGCUUAACACAUGCAAGUCGAACGGAAAGGCCCUGCUUUUGUGGGGUGCUCGAGUGGCGAACGGGUGAGUAACACGUGAGUAACCUGCCCUUGACUUUGGGAUAACUUCAGGAAACUGGGGCUAAUACCGGAUAGGAGCUCCUGCUGCAUGGUGGGGGUUGGAAAGUUUCGGCGGGUGGGGAUGGACUCGCGGCUUAUCAGCUUGUUGGUGGGGUAGUGGCUGACCAAGGCUUUGACGGGUAGCCGGCCUGAGAGGGUGACCGGCCACAUUGGUCCUGAGAGACGGACCAGACUCCUACGGGAGGCAGCAGUGGCGAAUAUUGCACAAUGGGCGGAAGCCUGAUGCAGCAACGCCGCGUUCGGGAUGACGGCCUUCGGGUUGUAAACCGCUUUCGCCUGUGACGAAGCGUGAGUGACGGUAAUGGGUAAAGAAGCACCGGCUAACUACGUG